rnacentral:rRNA from 1 species
GUUAGCGAAAACUUUACAAGUCUUACAAGUUGUGAAUUUUGGGGAAGGGCAAGGGGCUUUCGGGGGCCGGACCCAGGGUGGGCCUGGCGUUGGUCAGCUCGGGACGUGAAAGAUUGGGUUAAUUCCCGCAACAAGCGCACCCUUCGGACUUAUUGCCCACCACUUCGUUAGGGUGGGCCCUCUCAGGAGACUGCCGGUGACAAAUCGGAGGAAGGUGGGGAUGACGUCAAGUCAUCAUGCCCCUUACGUCCUGGGCUACACACGUACUACAAUGCUGCGGACAAAGGGCAGCGAGACUGCGAAGGCAAGCAAAUCUCAGAAACCGGAGCUCAGUUCAGAUCGUUCAGGCUGCAACUCGCCUGCGU